rnacentral:misc_RNA from 1 species
ACAUACCUUUCUUUCUCUUCUUCUUCUUACGAAAAGUUUCAUCACAUUCACAUUAUCUUUAACUUUGGUCUCUUUUCUUUUUUGUCUCUUUUCUCUUCUUGAUAACGUGGUUCUAGUCUUG